UAGCAUAUCAAUAAGCGGAGGAAAAGAAACCAACAGGGAUUGCCCUAGUAACGGCGAGUGAAGCGGCAACAGCUCAAAUUUGAAAUCUGGCCCUUUCAGGGUCCGAGUUGUAAUUUGUAGAGGGUGCUUUGGCGUUGGCUGCGGUCUAAGUUCCUUGGAACAGGACGUCACAGAGGGUGAGAAUCCCGUACGUGGCUGCCAGUCUUCGCCGUGUAAAGCCCCUUCGACGAGUCGAGUUGUUUGGGAAUGCAGCUCUAAAUGGGAGGUAAAUUUCUUCUAAAGCUAAAUAUUGGCCAGAGACCGAUAGCGCACAAGUAGAGUGAUCGAAAGAUGAAAAGCACUUUGGAAAGAGAGUCAAAAAGCACGUGAAAUUGUUGAAAGGGAAGCGCUUGCAGCCAGACUUGCCUGUAGUUGCUCAUCCGGGCUCUUGCCCGGUGCACUCUUCUGCGGGCAGGCCAGCAUCAGUUCGAGCGGCCGGAUAAAGACCUCUGUCACGUAUCUCGCUUCGGUGAGACCUUAUAGGGGAGGUGUAAUGCGGCCAGCUCGGAUUGAGGUCCGCGCAUCUGCUAGGAUGCUGGCGUAAUGGCUGUAAGCGGCCCGUCUUGAAACACGGACCAAGGAGUCUAACAUCUAUGCGAGUGUUUGGGUGUCAAGCCCGGGCGCGCAAUGAAAGUGAACGGAGGUGGGAACCCCUCGGGGCGCACCAUCGACCGAUCCUGAUGUCUUCGGAUGGAUUUGAGUAAGAGCAUAGCUGUUGGGACCCGAAAGAUGGUGAACUAUGCCUGAAUAGGGUGAAGCCAGAGGAAACUCUGGUGGAGGCUCGCAGCGGUUCUGACGUGCAAAUCGAUCGUCAAAUUUGGGCAUAGGGGCGAAAGACUAAUCGAACUAUCUAGUAGCUGGUUCCUGCCGAUUU
rnacentral:rRNA from 1 species